ACAUUGAUGUCCAUCACCACCUCUGCCGAAGCAACGGACCGUUCACCAAACGUGCCUGCAGAUUGCAUGUUGUCCACCUACAAAUCACCAUCCUCUCAAGCCACUCACAAUGAAUCACUCAAUCGAGGUGCCCCCUUAAGAAAGUGCAUGCCACAUAGGACGAGAACACUCUCAAGCUACUAGCUCUAUAGUGUAGACCACUCUAAAAUACCUUUAUCGUUUUAGCUCUUGAUCAUCUCUAUGUCAGCCCUUGUAGUAUUUUUGUUAAUAAAUUAAUUAGAAACUUCAUAUUUGGACCCUACAAUAGUAAAAAAGGGAUUACAUACAUAUCCCUAACCUCAUGGCGAUCUCACAUGUCAGUCAUGUACAAUCCCUCCAUUUCCUCUCUGAUCCCCUUACUCUCCACGGGUGGAAUCAUUUGAACACAGACUUCUUCGCCGCCACGCCACUACUCUCGCCGGCGGGCCGCCCCCCGCCCCCCCCCCCCCCCCCCCCCCCCCCCCCCCCCCCCCCCCCCCCCCCCCCCCCCCCCCCCUCCCCCCGCCGGCGGUCGGCCGCCGGCCACUCUCCCUCAACUCUUCUCCUCAUCCUCACACUCCCAUGUGGAUCGAAGGGAUAAUAGCGGAGAAUGGACGAGCUCCUCCCUCUUCGGUCACCGCUGUUGUCUCAACCUCUUCAGCAGCCCGGGGAUCGCAACAUCGAUGUUAUCGGUCGAACAAAAAAAAAACACGCAACCAUGUUGGACAUUGAUUUGCAUCAUGGAAGUAGCUUGGUAGGCAG
rnacentral:lncRNA from 1 species